GCCCCCGUUGUCUAAUGGUUAUGACGUCAGACUUCUACUAGUUGGGAUGGCAGGUAUUAUCUGGAGGUUGCGGGUUCGAGUCCCGCCGGGGGUU